CAUUGUCAGGUGGGGAGUUUGG
rnacentral:sRNA from 1 species